rnacentral:lncRNA from 1 species
GUACGUACUACGGUGCUGCAUGGGGAAGAGGAAAGGGGUUGAGGAGGAUUGAGGGUGGUUAGGAAAAGAGUGGAAAGCUAAGGGGACGAGACGAUGUGCGAGAAGGAGGACGGUUUACACGCUUCUGCUCGCGCGAUUCGACGACGUAGGAGAGAAGCAAUCGUAGAUCUUAUGGUUAAACGGAUAAGAAGAAUGUUGGAUGACGGCUCGAAGAAUAGGAGAAGCAAACGAAAAAGAUGGGUAACUGGAGAAGAAAGGCAAGUUGCAAA